rnacentral:rRNA from 1 species
UGGGGGAUAUUGCACAAUGGGGGAAACCCUGAUGCAGCGACACCGCGUGGGUGAGGAAGCGCUUCGGCGUGUAAAGCCCUAUCAGUGGGGAAGAAAAGGACGGUACCCAAAGAAGAAGCACCGGCUAAAUACGUGCC